rfam:Schistosoma haematobium scaffold73_12, whole genome shotgun sequence.
AUCUAGCUGAUGAGUCUCAAAUUGAACGAAACGCGUGUUUCGGAU